AUGGAACGCUGGCGGCAUGCCUUACACAUGCAAGUCGAACGGCAGCACGGGGCAACCUGGUGGCGAGUGGCGAACGGGUGAGUAAUGCAUCGGAACGUACCUUUCAGUGGGGGAUAACGUAGCGAAAGUUACGCUAAUACCGCAUAUUCUGUGAGCAGGAAAGCAGGGGAUCGCAAGACCUUGCGCUGAUUGAGCGGCCGAUGUCAGAUUAGCUAGUUGGUGAGGUAAAGGCUCACCAAGGCGACGAUCUGUAGCGGGUCUGAGAGGAUGAUCCGCCACACUGGAACUGAGACACGGUCCAGACUCCUACGGGAGGCAGCAGAGGGGAAUUUUGGACAAUGGGGGCAACCCUGAUCCAGCCAUGCCGCGUGAGUGAAGAAGGCCUUCGGGUUGUAAAGCUCUUUCGGCCGGGAAGAAAUCGCACGGGCUAAUACCCUGUGUGGAUGACGGUACCGGAAUAAGAAGCACCGGCUAACUACGUGCCAGCCGCCGCGGUAACAC
rnacentral:rRNA from 1 species